UAGAUACCCUAUUAUACUAGAUGUUGAUUUUUCACCUGGGUAGUAUUAGUUAAGUUCUUGAAACCCAAAGAAUUUGGCGGUGUUUUAGUCUUUUCAGAGGAACCUGUUAUUUAAUCGAUAGUCCACGAUUUCAUUUACUUAUAUUUGUUUUCAGUUUUUAUACCUCCGUCAUAAGAAUAUUUUUUUAGAAAUAAUUUUCUUAAUUGUUAAAUACGCUAAUGUCAGGUCAAGGUGAAACUUAUGUAUAAGUGUUAAUGGGUUACAAUAAAUUUAUUUAUACGGAUUUUUAAACUUGUAUUUAAAUUGAAGGUGGAUUUGUGAGUAAAUAUUAUUAAUUAAUUUUCUUGAUUUUAGCUCUAAAAUAUGC
rnacentral:rRNA from 1 species